GAUGAACGCUGGCGGCGUGCCUAAUACAUGCAAGUCGAGCGAACAGACGAGGAGCUUGCUCCUCUGCCGUUAGCGGCGGACGGGUGAGUAACACGUGGAUAACCUACCUAUAAGACUGGGAUAACUUCGUGAAACCGGAGCUAAUACCGGAUAACAUGUUGAACCGCAUGGUUCAACAGUGAAAGACGGUUUUGCUGUCACUUAUAGAUGGAUCCGCGCCGCAUUAGCUAGUUGGUAAGGUAACGGCUUACCAAGGCAACGAUGCGUAGCCGACCUGAGAGGGUGAUCGGCCACACUGGAACUGAGACACGGUCCAGACUCCUACGGGAGGCAGCAGUAGGGAAUCUUCCGCAAUGGGCGAAAGCCUGACGGAGCAACGCCGCGUGAGUGAAGAAGGUCUUCGGAUCGUAAAACUCUGUUAUUAGGGAAGAACAAAUGUGUAAGUAACUAUGCACGUCUUGACGGUACCUAAUCAGAAAGCCACGGCUAACUACGUG
rnacentral:rRNA from 1 species